CUGUGAACUUUAGAACAGAAGAAAGUUUGGAAUAUUUUCCAGGAUAUUGACAAUGAACCAGGGUCGUAAAUGCAGUGUUCCAGGCUGUACAGGGAAU